rnacentral:rRNA from 1 species
AUUGAACGCUGGCGGCAGGCCUAACACAUGCAAGUCGAGCGAGCGGCGGACGGGUGAGUAAUGUCUGGGAAACUGCCUGAUGGAGGGGGAUAACUACUGGAAACGGUAGCUAAUACCGCAUACCAUCAGAUGUGCCCAGAUUGGAUGAGCUAGUAGGUGGGGUAAUGGCUCACCUAGGCGACGAUCCCUAGCUGGUCUGAGAGGAUGGCCAGCCACACUUGAAUGGAGACACGGUCAAGACUCCGACGGGAGGCAGCAGGUGGGAAUAGUGGACAAUGGGCGCAAGCCUGUGGCAGCCAUGCCGCGUGUGUGAGGAAGGCCUUCGUGUUGUAAAGCACUGUCAGCGGGGAGGCGUUACCCGCAGAAGAAGCACCGGCUAACUCCGUGCCAGCAGCCGCGGUAAUAC